GUUUUUAGUUUUAUCGCUGCGUUGUUCAUCUUCAAUACUAAUUUUUGGAGAAACUUCUGAGGUAUGAGCAAAAAAUUACGUCUCAAGUAGUGCGCGCUUAUCGAAUCAUGUUACGCGGGAGAUGCGAGGGCAGCGCCGUGCGGACGGUGCGGUAGACCGAGUGCGGAGGUUGAAUUCAACCCCGCGGGAGACUACGGGAGCUCGCGCUCGGGGGAGUCCGGUCUACCAGAGGUUAACAAAUUGUAGUUCGUGAAAAUUUUAUAUAAAGGUAAAGAACACGGCCUAUUUUAUCUUCA